UACAGAGGCCUCGAGCGUUAAUCGGAGUCACUGGGCUUAAAGGGUGCGUAGGCUGGUCCGCAAGUGCCUUGUGAAAUCCCACGGCUCAACCGUGGAAUGGCUCGGCAGACUGCGGGUCUUGAGGUCGGUAGGGGUCGCUGGAACUCUAGGUGGAGCGGUGAAAUGCGUAGAUAUCUAGAGGAACGCCAAAGGUGAAGACAAGCGACUGGGCCGAUUCUGACGCUGAGGCACGAAAGCGUGGGGAGCGAACAGG
rnacentral:rRNA from 1 species